AUGAAUUCAGGGGGAGUGUGAGUGACUUUAUCUCUUGAUCGCCUGAAUGUAUUUGAUGACAAAUGUUGUGCCAAGUGUUAUGGCACCUGACUAAUGAGUCCACUAUCCAUUAUGACUGAGAAUUUAUUUUUCUCAGAUGUUUAUGGGGAUUUAUUUUUCCCUGUUGUUCUUAUGUUGAAGAAAUACGCGUUAAACUAUUAGGAGUUUAUUUCUCCUACUUCUUAGCAUCUACUUUGGGAGUUUAUUUCUCCCUUGUGUUGUUCCAUAAGGCUAGAUGUUUUAUUCCGCUGUUACAUUGCCUCUGAUGCUACUUGACUAUCAUGGAAGUAUUGAUUAUUAUGUGUUACUUUCUUUCCUAGUUGUGUGAACAUGUUGACUUGAAGGAAAGGUAAUACUGUAUCCCUCUAUAUACUGGUCUAAUAUUGUUUUAGCCAAAAUUUGCCAAAGGGGGAGAUUGUUGGGUUUUUGUAUAUUGGCUACAUUUUGCAAAAACAUAUUUUAGCCAAGUGUUGAGACAAAUGUGCUGACCCCAAGUGUUGUGACAAAUGUUGGGACACUUUGGAACGACACCUGACUCUGUAUCGUGCGCGCCAGCUAGCGGGUUUAAAUUUCUACUCAAUCUUUUGAAGAUCUGUUUGAAGAAUUGUUUCAAGGUUUCUUACAGAGGAAGGCGCACGUGUUUAAUGUGUUUCAUGAGGCAGCCAAACCCUAGUUUUAUUUUCCAAAGAAAUUAUAGUUUUGGAAAAUAUAUUUUUGCGUUUCAAAAAUAUAACUAUUGUUUUCAAAAAUAUAUCACAGCUGCCGCAAUUCUAGAAACCCUAAUUUUGUCUUGAAGCCCAAGUCAUUCUACUGCUAUAAAUACGAAGGCAAGCAUAUGGUUUCAAGCAUCUAAAAUCGUGUUCUUACAAAGCGUGUGUUUUAGGGAUUUUAGAGUGUUAAUUGUGAGCNNNNNNNNNNNNNNNNNNNNNNNNNNNNNNCAUUCCUGGAUUGGUAUCCCCCAGAGUAGGCUUUAGGCUGAACUGGGUUAACAACUCUCGUGUGUUAUUUACUUUACUGUUUGUAUUGUUUUAUGUUAUUUGCUCUGUUUAUAGACAAGUGUUGGCGCACCUGUAACAACAUCUGUCUACAACAGACAAGUGUUACUACACCUUGAGCAACACCUGUCCACUGUGUGCCAGGAAUUUCAGUUGUGAUCUUUUCUCCUUGGUUUAAUACCACAUGACAUGUCCUUAUGUAGUACAAUGACAUGUACUUGGUGUGAAAUUUCUAUUUUAUCCUUCCAUCUAGCACCAAAAUGCACUUAUGCCAAUUAAUUAUCCCUUUAUACUUAUUCACUUAUUUCCAAUUAGUUUCUAAUAAAUAUUCUUCUAUUAAUUAAAGUCGGGAUGUUACAAUCUACCCCCCUUAAAGGAAUUUCGUCCUCGAAAUUCAGAUUUUUCUUCACGCAACACCAGGGUAACCGUCUACGUUUCCGUCCGAUUCAUGACAUUGAU
rnacentral:lncRNA from 1 species